UUCUUGGUGGUCUGUUGGCUAAGGAUCCUGCGCUUUCACCGCCAUGGCCUGAGUUCGAUUCCCAGGCAGGGAA